rnacentral:rRNA from 1 species
UACGUAGGUGGCAAGCGUUGUCCGGAAUUACUGGGUGUAAAGCGCGUGUAGGCGGCAGACCAAGUCGGCGGUGAAAGCGCCCGGCUCAACUGGGCGAGGUCCGUGGAAACUGGUCAGCUGGAGGACGGUAGAGGCGAGUGGAAUUCCCGGUGUAGUGGUGAAAUGCGUAGAGAUCGGGAGGAACACCUGUGGCGAAGGCGGCUCGCUGGGCCGGUCCUGACGCUGAGGAGCGAAAGCGUGGGGAGCGAACAGG